UGCAUGCUUGCGAAGUGCUUAGAAGCGCGGAGCGGCAGACGGCUCAGUAAUACUGCGAUGAUUUGUUUAGGAGCGCAGUGUAGCCACGGGAAACUGUGGGUAGGAUGCGGGGAUGUGUCUGGGGCGGCCUGGAGAUGUUGCUGAGUAAGUUGCAGGCCCAUUAGCUGGUAGCUAGGGUAAUGGCCUAGCUAGGCGAUGAUGGGAGACGGGGAAUUGGGGUUUGGUUCCGGAGAGGGAGCCUGAGAGAUGGCUACUACGUCCAAGGAUGGCAGCAGGCGCGGAACUUGCCGAAUCCUGAUGGGAGGCAGUUAGCAGAUGUUAUGUGUGUGGUGAAUUGCAACGAGAUUCGCUGUGAUUGGAGGGCAAGUCGGGUGCCAGCAGCCGCGGUAAUACCUGCUCCAAGAGUGUCUAUGGUGGAUGCUGCAGUUAAAAGGUUCGUAGUUGUGUUGAUGGUGUAUGUUUUGUGUGCCUGUGGCUAUAGCGGGCUGUGGAUGUAUGCGGCAACGGGCGCAACGGACGGGGGGCACUGGAUAGUUGGGCGAGAGGUGAAAUGUGACGACCCUGACUGGACAGACGGAGGCGAAGGCUGUGCUCUUGGACGGAUGUGUGGAUCAAGAACGAAGGCUGGAGGAUCGAAAUCGAUUAGAUACCGUUUUAGUUCCAGCAGUAAACGAUGCCGACUGGAUGGUGCUGUUGCACUGUCCGCGAGAAAUCUGUGAGUGUGUGGGCUCUGGGGAUAGUAUGUUCGCAAGAGGGAAACUUA
rnacentral:rRNA from 1 species